rnacentral:rRNA from 1 species
GUGGGGAAUAUUGGGCAAUGGGCGAAAGCCUGACCCAGCAACGCCGCGUGAGGGAAGAAGGCCUUCGGGUUGUAAACCUCUGUCCUUGGUGACGAAACAAAUGACGGUAGCCAAGGAGGAAGCCCCGGCUAACUACGUGCCAGCAGCCGCGGUAAUACGUAGGGGGCGAGCGUUGUCCGGAAUUACUGGGCGUAAAGGGUGCGUAGGUGGCCUUUUAAGUUGGAUGUGAAAUACCCGGGCUUAACUUGGGGGGUGCAUCUAAUACUGGAGGGCUAGAGUGCAGGAGAGGGAAGCGGAAUUCCUAGUGUAGCGGUGAAAUGCGUAGAUAUUAGGAGGAACACCAGUGGCGAAGGCGGCUCACUGGCUCGAUACUGACGCUGAGGUGCGAAAGCGUGGGGAGCAAACAGGAUUAGAUACCCCGGUAGUCC